GGUUCCAUAGUGUAGUGGUUAGCAUGUCUGCUUUACAUGCAGAAGGUCCUUGGUUUGUGCCCCAGUGGAGCCA
rnacentral:tRNA from 1 species